AACGAACGCUGGCGGCAGGCCUAACACAUGCAAGUCGAACGCCCCGCAAGGGGAGUGGCAGACGGGCGAGUAACACGUGGGAACGUACCCUUCGGUUCGGGAUAACUCAGGGAAACUUGAGCUAAUACCGGAUACGUCCGAGAGGAGAAAGAUUUAUCGCCGAGGGAUCGGCCCGCGUCUGAUUAGCUUGUUGGUGAGGUAACGGCUCACCAAGGCGACGAUCAGUAGCUGGUCUGAGAGGAUGAUCAGCCACAUUGGGACUGAGACACGGCCCAAACUCCUACGGGAGGCAGCAGUGGGGAAUAUUGGACAAUGGGCGCAAGCCUGAUCCAGCCAUGCCGCGUGAGUGAUGAAGGCCCUAGGGUUGUAAAGCUCUUUUACCCGGG
rnacentral:rRNA from 1 species